rnacentral:misc_RNA from 1 species
CCAAACUUGGUCAUUUAGAGGAAGUAAAAGUCGUAACAAGGUUUCCGUAGGUGAACCUGCGGAAGGAUCAUUAGAAGAGACGGGGUACCCCCCCAAGGGGCCCCUAACCUCCUAACCCUCUGCUUAUAGCCCCCCGUUGCUUCGGCGGCGCGUCGGGUUCCCGUCGCCCGUCUGGGUGCGAUGGGGAACCACGCCGGUAGCCCUGAUGUAUUGGGGCCGCUGAGACGCCGUCGAGGGCCAUCACAAAACCUCAUGCUAGAAGUAGUAGUCAUAACGUGUUGAGGAUGUAGGAAGCCUUUCCGCAUCGAAAACGCCUCAAAAACUUUCAACAACGGAUCUCUUGGUUCUGGCAUCGAUGAAGAACGCAGC